rnacentral:lncRNA from 1 species
AAUCAGUUAGGUAAUUAGGAUGAAUCUCCGAAACAUUUGUAAUCAAUUAGGUAAUUAGGAUGAAUCUCCAUAAGGGUAUCCCACAAAUAAAGUGGAAUACCUAGCAAGCUACCUUCUUCGGGAGUAUGUGAGCCCUCACAACAUUCAGCAAAUAGGUCAGAAUACCAAAUGGGGUGCAAUCAAGGAUUGCACCAAACAAAUCAGUAAUAGUAUCAGGUAAACAAUGCAUGGUUA